GACGAACGCUGGCGGCGUGCUUAACACAUGCAAGUCGAACGGAAAGGCCCUGCUUUUGUGGGGUGCUCGAGUGGCGAACGGGUGAGUAACACGUGAGUAACCUGCCCUUGACUUUGGGAUAACUUCAGGAAACUGGGGCUAAUACCGGAUAGGAGCUCCUGCUGCAUGGUGGGGGUUGGAAAGUUUCGGCGGUUGGGGAUGGACUCGAGGCUUAUCAGCUUGUUGGUGGGGUAGUGGCUUACCAAGGCUUUGACGGGUAGCCGGCCUGAGAGGGUGACCGGCCACAUUGGGACUGAGAUACGGGCCAGACUCCUACGGGAGGCAGCAGUGGGGAAUAUUGCACAAUGGGCGGAAGCCUGAUGCAGCAACGCCGCGUGCGGGAUGACGGCCUUCGGGUUGUAAACCGCUUUCGCCUGUGACGAAGCGUGAGUGACGGUAAUGGGUAAAGAAGCACCGGCUAACUACGUG
rnacentral:rRNA from 1 species